GAUGAACGCUGGCGGCGUGCCUAAUACAUGCAAGUCGAGCGAACGGAUGAGAAGCUUGCUUCUCUGAUGUUAGCGGCGGACGGGUGAGUAACACGUGGAUAACCUACCUAUAAGACUGGGAUAACUUCGGGAAACCGGAGCUAAUACCGGAUAAUAUUUUGAACCGCAUGGUUCAAAAGUGAAAGACGGUCUUGCUGUCACUUAUAGAUGGAUCCGCGCUGCAUUAGCUAGUUGGUAAGGUAACGGCUUACCAAGGCAACGAUGCAUAGCCGACCUGAGAGGGUGAUCGGCCACACUGGAACUGAGACACGGUCCAGACUCCUACGGGAGGCAGCAGUAGGGAAUCUUCCGCAAUGGGCGAAAGCCUGACGGAGCAACGCCGCGUGAGUGAUGAAGGUCUUCGGAUCGUAAAACUCUGUUAUUAGGGAAGAACAUAUGUGUAAGUAACUGUGCACAUCUUGACGGUACCUAAUCAGAAAGCCACGGCUAACUACGU
rnacentral:rRNA from 1 species